CAAAGUGGACGCCCAACCACCUGAGCCACCAAGCACUCCACAUAAAACAUAUUUUUAUUCAUUCCAUCCCAUUAUUUAGACUUAGAUGUUUUGAAGAGGUUUUAAGUGAUUAAAGAUAGUUUCAAAGAUGAAGAUAGUUUACAGUGAUCUUCUCUUUUAAAUUUUUAGAAGUUUAUUUAUUAUCUAAGUAAUCUCUACACCUAACAUGGGACUCAAACCCAUGACCCAAGAUCAAGAGUCGCAUGCUCUUCCAACUGAGCCAGCCAGGCACCCCUAACCUAAAAUGUUUAAAUAGUUUGUUUCUGAAAUUAGUAGAAUAUGUUGACCAAUUCUACUAAUCAAGUUGAAGGCUAAAGUCAACGCUUGCUUCUAUUGCUAAAUUGCAUUAACUUACUCUGUUAAAGCUACCAUUUUGGUAAUUUGAAUAAGUACCUACUUGAGAAGGUAAUAUUAGGUACCUAUAGACAAUCUGUCCUAUUUCAUUGCCCAUCCCCAAAGUGGGCAUUGCUAGAGUCAUCUCGUGGCCAAAUCCUACUUGGCUAAUGUCACCUUUGUGUCAUUAUUUCCUACAUAGCAGACUAAUUUUUAAAUUUUAACCUGGCUUGUGUUCCUUGUGGUAGUUUGAGGUAACAGCCUCUUCUAUUCUAUUUGGUAAGCCAAGCACUGCCUGGCUUCUUGGCAUUUGUCUCUACAUCAGUGAAAUAUUCACCUUGUGUUUGGUGGCCCUUUGCCUCCACAGAAAGCUCAGAUUCAUAAGCCAAGGCGUUUUAAUAUUGGAAGGGAUAUGGAUCCUACUGGCCUAAAUCCUACCUCAGCUAGGGCUACGCAAGGGCACAGCGGACAGGAUUCAUUACCUCUGAGAGUGCAGUAAAAAGCCAGACUCAAAACUAAUUUUUUGCUUCUCAAAAAGCAAACACCUAGUGUCACGAGCUAUGAAGUGUUAGCCUACCAAGCUUCAUGAGCGUUGACAGAGGACAGAAGACUCCUGGCUCUGAGGCAAAAGACUCUAUUACGCAGAGCACAGCAAGUAGCACAAGCCUCAUGUUUAGGUUGGUCCCCCCUUGCACUUCCCCACCCCCUUCAAGGCAAUGGGAAACUGUUCAGAUAAUGCCACACACAGAGGUUUUGCCUCACACCCAAGGACCGCUGCGCUUAAGAAACCCAACCUUUAUUAUACUGCACGGUAAAUAAACCUGCCCUCUGUUACAGUGAGAGACAUUAUUUCUGUCAUCCAAGGUCCUUGACUACAAACAUCCUUGAAGAGAUAGUCUAGAACAAAAGCUAUCAGUGCCUCUGCUCCCAAGACAUGCAGAAAUGUGAGAGACCUAUGGAGAAUUAUCUCCCAGCACCUAGCAGCCCAAAUAAAGACCAUCAGGCACCUCUGGUUUUAAGGAAUUAUUAGUGGUUCUUUGCUUUAUCCUGUUGUCCCUCCUUCCCCUGAUUCCUGGAAUCACCACCGUCUCCUGGAAGCCAUCCCUACCCCAGCCUCUUUCCCUAAUAGGUGUUUCCACAGCCUCCUCCUCUAUACACCCUCUAUACAACAGCCAAGGGCUAAAACCAGAAACCAAAAUGUCACAAGACCAUAUAUAUCUUGGACUCUGAACCUACCUGAAAUCACAAGAAGUCCAGCCACCUCCUCUUCCCCCUCCCAGGAAUGUUUCAUAUCCGUUGAUGCACGUGUUCCCUAAUAAACAUGUGGGGACCAGCAUUUUCCCCCCUUUUCUCCUCUGGCUCCCUGUAGAGCUGUCUGCAGAUUCUCCCUCUGACUCUCCCUCUCUCUCUUCCUCUCGAGAGAAGUCAAGAAGUUUCCAAGUCAAGGCCACUAAUGUUUGUGCAGGAAGUCUUCCUGUGGCACCUCCAAGACUCCAGAAAAGACAUUGGUAUGGCCCACUAUUGCUGUUGAAGCUGCUAUUGGGGUUCAGAAUGAGUUGUCCUAAGAUGUGCUAUUUUGGCACAUGGAUUAUUCUGAGCUGAAAACCAUCAAGGCCCAAAAGACUCAAGAAGAAACUUUGACCCUCCCCCUAACUGCCUGAAGGAAUUUAGACAGAUGACCUGCUCCAGGAAGAGAGCCAUCACCAUCAAUAACUACUGUGUAAUAUGAACUAGGUUUGGAAGAGGGAGGAACCUAGAAAAGUCUGCUACAAUUCCUCUUUGUGUCUCAUUAUUUCUGUAUGGCCCGAUUCAUCUUCCCGUGAAUUGCUUUCCUUCUCUUUGAAGUUCCAGUCCCCCACCCCUUUCUCCUUAGUAUAGGAUGGACAUAUAUACCUCAUUUUGCUGGUCUUUGGAAUCUCUCAUGUUUAUGUGGAUUCCCUGUACAUACAUAAUUAAAUUUGAUAUUCUCCUAUUAA